rnacentral:rRNA from 1 species
UACGUAGGGGUCGAGCGUUGUCCGGAGUUACUGGGCGUAAAGCGCGUGCAGGUGGCUCAUUACGCCCGGCGUGAAAGCCCCCGGCUCAACCGGGGAGGGUCGUCGGGGACGGGUGAGCUUGAGGGUAGCAGGGGCUGGUAGAAUUCCCGGUGUAGUGGUGAAAUGCGUAGAGAUCGGGAGGAAUACCCGUGGCGAAGGCGGCCAGCUGGGCUACACCUGACACUGAGACGCGAAGGCGUGGGGAGCGAACGGG